rnacentral:rRNA from 1 species
UUGCACGCUGGCGGCAUGCCUUACACAUGCAAGUCGAACGGCAGCACGGGGGGUAACCCCUGGUGGCGAGUGGCGAACGGGUGAGUAAUAUAUCGGAACGUGUCCUGUAGCGGGGGAUAACCUAUCGAAAGAUGGACUAAUACCGCAUACGACCUACGGGUGAAAGCGGAGGACCGCAAGGCUUCGCACUAUAGGAGCGGCCGAUAUCGGAUUAGCUAGUUGGCGGGGUAACGGCCCACCAAGGCGACGAUCCGUAGCUGGUCUGAGAGGACGAUCAGCCACACUGGAACUGAGACACGGUCCAGACUCCUACGGGAGGCAGCAGUGGGGAAUUUUGGACAAUGGGCGCAAGCCUGAUCCAGCCAUGCCGCGUGAGUGAAGAAGGCCUUCGGGUUGUAAAGCUCUUUCGGCGGGGACGAAACGGUUCGUGCUAAUACCACGGACUACUGACGGUACCCGCAGAAGAAGCACCGGCUAACUACGUG